rnacentral:rRNA from 1 species
GGCUCAGGAUGAACGCUGGCGGCGUGCUUAACACAUGCAAGUCGAACGAUGAUCCUCAGCUUGCUGGGGGGAUUAGUGGCGAACGGGUGAGUAACACGUGAGUAACCUGCCCUUGACUCUGGGAUAAGCCUGGGAAACUGGGUCUAAUACCGGAUAUGACUCCUCAUCGCAUGGUGGGGGGUGGAAAGCUUUUUGUGGUUUUGGAUGGACUCGCGGCCUAUCAGCUUGUUGGUGGGGUAAUGGCCUACCAAGGCGACGACGGGUAGCCGGCCUGAGAGGGUGACCGGCCACACUGGGACUGAGACACGGCCCAGACUCCUACGGGAGGCAGCAGUGGGGAAUAUUGCACAAUGGGCGCAAGCCUGAUGCAGCGACGCCGCGUGAGGGAUGACGGCCUUCGGGUUGUAAACCUCUUUCAGUAGGGAAGAAGCGAAAGUGACGGUGCCUGCAGAAGAAGCGCCGGCUAACUACGUGCCAGCAGCCGCGGUAAUACGUAGGGCGCAAGCGUUAUCCGGAAUUAUUGGGCGUAAAGAGCUCGUAGGCGGUUUGUCGCGUCUGCCGUGAAAGUCCGGGGCUCAACUCCGGAUCUGCGGUGGGUACGGGCAGACUAGAGUGAUGUAGGGGAGACUGGAAUUCCUGGUGUAGCGGUGAAAUGCGCAGAUAUCAGGGGGAACACCGAUGGCGAAGGCAGGUCUCUGGGCAUUAACUGACGCUGAGGAGCGGAAGCGUGGGGAGCGAACAGGAUUAGAUACCCUGGUAGUCCACGCCGUAAACGGUGAAAAUAGGUGUGGGUUCCUUCCCUGGGAUCCGUGCGGUAGCUAAACCCAUUAAGUACCCCGCCGGGGGAGUACGGCCGCCAGGCUAAAAAUCAAAGGAAUUGACGGGGGCCCGCACAAGCGGCGGAGCAUGUGGAUUAAUUCGAUGCAACGCGAAAGAACCUUACCUGGGUUUGACAUGCACAGGACGCCGGCAGAGAAGUCGGUUCCCUUGUGGCCUGUGUGCAGGUGGUGCAUGGCUGUCGUCAGCUCGUGUCGUGAGAUGUUGGGUUAAGUCCCGCAACGAGCGCAACCCUUGUCCUAUGUUGCCAGCGGGUUAUGCCGGGGACUCGUAGGAGACUGCCGGGGUCAACUCGGAGGAAGGUGGGGAUGACGUCAGGUCAUCAUGCCCCUUAUGUCCAGGGCUUCACACAUGCUACAAUGGCCGGUACAAAGGGCUGCGAUGCCGUGAGGUGGAGCGAAUCCUUUCAAAGCCGGUCUCAGUUCGGAUGGGGGUGUGCAACUCGACCCCGCGAAGUCGGAGUCGCUAGUAAUCGCAGAUCAGCAACGCUGCGGUGAAUAAAAUCCCGGGCCUUGUACUCACCGCCCG